UUUACACUUUCAGGAAGGAUUCGUGAACCAAGAGGGACUAUAGAAGGAGAUUGAGCUUGGAAAUGUAAGGUUUGAUGAAGAAACCAAAAUCAAAAGUCUGCAAUGUGAGAAUUGAUGAUGG